rnacentral:tRNA from 1 species
GCCCCCGUAGCUCAGGGGAUAGAGCGCCGGCCUCCGGAGCCGGGUGCGCAGGUUCGAAUCCUGCCGGGGGCG